rnacentral:rRNA from 1 species
UAUUUGGUCGUAGACCCGAAACCAGGUGAUCUACCCUUGGUCAGGUUGAAGUUCAGGUAACACUGAAUGGAGGACCGAACCGACUUACGUUGAAAAGUGAGCGGAUGAACUGAGGGUAGCGGAGAAAUUCCAAUCGAACCUGGAGAUAGCUGGUUCUCUCCGAAAUAGCUUUAGGGCUAGCCUCAAGUGAUGAUUAUUGGAGGUAGAGCACUGUUUGGACGAGGGGCCCCUCUCGGGUUACCGAAUUCAGACAAACUCCGAAUGCCAAUUAAUUUAACUUGGGAGUCAGAACAUGGGUGAUAAGGUCCGUGUUCGAAAGGGAAACAGCCCAGACCACCAGCUAAGGUCCCAAAAUAUAUGUUAAGUGGAAAAGGAUGUGGCGUUGCCCAGACAACUAGGAUGUUGGCUUAGAAGCAGCCAUCAUUUAAAGAGUGCGUAAUAGCUCACUAGUCGAGUGACACUGCGCCGAAAAUGUACCGGGGCUAAACAUAUUACCGAAGCUGUGGAUUGUCCUUUGGACAAUGGUAGGAGAGCGUUCUAAGGGCGUUGAAGCAUGAUCGUAAGGACAUGUGGAGCGCUUAGAAGUGAGAAUGCCGGUGUGAGUAGCGAAAGACGGGUGAGAAUCCCGUCCACCGAUUGACUAAGGUUUCCAGAGGAAGGCUCGUCCGCUCUGGGUUAGUCGGGUCCUAAGCUGAGGCCGACAGGCGUAGGCGAUGGAUAACAGGUUGAUAUUCCUGUACCACCUAUAAUCGUUUUAAUCGAUGGGGGGACGCAGUAGGAUAGGCGAAGCGUGCGAUUGGAUUGCACGUCUAAGCAGUAAGGCUGAGUAUUAGGCAAAUCCGGUACUCGUUAAGGCUGAGC